AUUUAAGUAGUUUAAUAAAAUAAAAAAUUGUGGGUUUUUAGAUGUAUAUAUUACCUUAAGUU
rnacentral:tRNA from 1 species